UACGGAGGGGGCUAGCGUUGUUCGGAAUUACUGGGCGUAAAGCGCACGUAGGCGGACUGAAAGUCAGAGGUGAAAUCCCAGGGCUCAACCUUGGAACUGCCUUUGAAACUCCUGGUCUUGAGGUCGAGAGAGGUGAGUGGAAUUCCGAGUGUAGAGGUGAAAUUCGUAGAUAUUCGGAGGAACACCAGUGGCGAAGGCGGCUCACUGGCUCGAUACUGACGCUGAGGUGCGAAAGCGUGGGGAGCAAACAGG
rnacentral:rRNA from 1 species